rnacentral:lncRNA from 1 species
UCUGUAAAGGAAGCACGAAGGAAGGGGAGGCAUUGAGAAGCAAUUUCCAGCCAUGCAAAGCAAGCUUGACCUUUCUUGGGAUCUUGCCCUUCACCGGGGCUGAAGUCAAGUCUCUUUUCAUUUCUGCCUGAAAUCAGGAUAUGCUCUAUGAUGUGAAAUAUAUGCUUGGCAACCAUGUGUUCCUAUCAGGAAGGACACUAAAACUCAUGUAGUCCAAGAGAAUCUUUCCAGUGAUGGACAAAACUCAAGAUGAUCAAAUAUCUGUGCCUGGAACACAGGAAAAUAAGAAAGCAACAAAGAUGCUGAUCCUCCUGUUAGUGAUAAGAAGCUCAAACACUGAGAAGUUAAAACGCUUUCCUAAACUCACACUCUACAAAGAAGACCUAAAAUUGAAUCUAACUGGCCUACCACAUCCUCUGAGAUUGGUCCAGGGAAAGAUAAUGUUUCUAAUGUCCAUGCCCUGUGAUCCAUGAAGCAAUUCCCUACUCACUCUCCAGAGAACACAAUUAAUCCCUCCUCUCAGCCCCUCUCAUUCUUCUUACAAAUUUCAGAAGGAACAUGUACACAUGGUUAUUCUGCUUUUGUAUUUACCUUCUACACUGGACUGUGAACUUAUUAAAGCCUAGAAACCAC